UAUGCAGUGAUUCGCCACUUGCUGUAAACGCAUCGCCAACAAUUCCCGCUGCUGUGUUCUCUUCUGUUUUUAUCAUCAAUUAAAAAGGCUCCGUUUCGUUAGGGGCAUUUUUGCCCCCUCCCGAAAAUGGAAAGAAGCAGCAAACAGCCCUCGGAGAAGGCACAAAGCUCUUCUGAGAAAUGUCUAGCAGAGACAGCUUCUUACAGUAACACUUUAUUUUAAUGGUCCUUUAAUGCAGAAAUUGACCAUGGUCGUCCCUCUUAGGCCUCAUUCACCCUAAAUAAAAAUGACCUUGUUGCCAGAGAUGGGUCCUAACAAGGUAUCAACCCCGGGGGUAGCCCAGGGGAGGCAGCGGGGCAAGAGAAAUGCCCUCUCUCUGCGGCGGCUGCAAUUCCUGCCUGUGACCUUGCACCCUCCCAUCCAGCUUUCCAUUUCCUUAUUUAGAUGAGGCUCCCUUAUACUUGGAGGGAACGAUUUCUCUGCUGGGACUCCAUGGCUAUCAGCUUUCUGAGAAGUGGUUUGUUCUUCCAAGAAACCAAAGGGAGCCUGGUUGGUGUGCGUGCUGGCUUGUGGCUGAGCCGAGGGAGCCACGGAGGGCAGCUCACGACAGACCAUCAGGACACCGGGCUCCUGAGCCCUCGACAUCCACUCAUCACGAGCCGCAGGUUGAAGGCUGAACCACUGAACAUGAUAAUGAGAAUGUGUGAGGACCCUGGUUCGACACUUGCCCUGCGUUGAGAAGUGUUGGAGAAGGGGGCUGCCGGGAGAGACACAGUGCCCUCAGCCCAGAUAUGGGUUUCUAAGAAGAAAGAGAAUUGUAAAGCUCUGAUCCUUUAAAACGCUGGAGAAACCUCCUGGGAGGAAGUGAGACUUGUCUGAGGGCUGAUAGAAGAACGAGUAUCAUUAAAUGCACUCGAAAAAGAAGAUCAUUCCAGGGACAAGACUUUACAGAAGUACCGAUGCGAGAAUGAGGGGUCCAAACUCUCUAGAAGACUCCAAUGAAUGGAGACAGGCCUCAGUCAAUUUUACACCAUGAGUGCAAGUUUAAGCUGGAUUAGUCUGGCCCUGCUAAGUACCUUGCUCAGGAACUGAAAUAUUAUAGCUGCAACAUGGCUAGCAGAGGAAAUGAAAUGGAAGCCUAUAAACCCUGAAGUGGAUAGCAGGAGCGCAAAUUCAGAGAACGAAGCAAAGUUUUAUUUUGGGGCUGUACCGUAAAGGCGACUUAGGUAGACCCAAGGGCCAGGGUUCUGUGUGCAUGUGUGCGGGCCCUUAGUGAUCAUUAACUUUGGAGGGGGAAAAAAAUGUUACAUGGCCCUGCAAAUAAAAAUGAUGAAGGUAUUUCUUGUAGCUAUUUCUGUGUGUCAUGAAAACAGCAGGAUUUUUUAGAAUGGGCUGAUAUUCUUUAUCCCAGUCCUCCCUAAAGGGAAUUACAGAGCUGAGACCUGUAGGAAUUUAUUGGUCUGACGGGAAGAAAGCACAGCACCAAAAGGAACUCACACAUUCCCAGUGACUCACUUGCGUCUCUAUCUGAAUGCAAAGCCUGGCCUUAUUUCUUGAAACCAGCUUUCUGGUAGACUGUUUAAGAGUUAAGGGAUUACAAGAAUAAGUCAUUGAUCCCCCAUUUCUAAGGCUAACAAAGAAUUUCAUAUUACUGAAACCAGACAUUGCCUUUAAACCGACAGAUUUUAACCAGAGGGGAGGCGGGAGGGUGUUUUGUGUUUGCCUUGUGAUGAUUUGAAAGUUGCGUGACAUUCUUGGGAAGAAAAGAAAGAGAAAACAUUGCAUCUUCCGAGAGCAUUUUUCCACGCUCUCCUUGAGAAAGGCAAAUUAGAAAUUAUCUUGGACAGAGUGUGCAAAAUGGAAUGACCCAAAGCUCUUUGAAGGGUGGCCUAUCUUUUUAAAUCAAGCAGCAUGAUUUACUGUGUACUUAGAAGACACACUGUUUUCAGUCAGAACAAUUCCAGGUGAAAGAUGAGGUACUUAUAGAUGAGAUAGUUCCAUAGCUCUAUUGAUGAAAGCAAGCCAAAUAAAUAUUUUACAGCCCUUUUGACAAAAUGCUUUGAUUAAAGGAAUUACAGGUAGAGACAACCUGCCGCUGAUGAAGAUGAGGGUCUUCAACAACAUAAAGCAACUGAGUUUUAAAACAAAUACACCAACCUUAACACAUUUCAAUAAAUAUCGCUUCCCUCUCCCAAAGGGGUUACCUUACGAAGCUAUAAGCUUUCAAUAAGGCUGCAGCAAUUUCUUGAAAGAGUUUCUGACUUCUCUGUUUCAGCCUUCAGGGAGAGCAGUCUAUCGUUUUGACUAUCUUCAAAAAUAAGGGAACUUCAACACAUGAAAAUAGAUUUUCAUUUUUGAAAAGUAAUCAAAAGUCCAUUGGAAGGAAGUCUGGAGACUGAGAGGUGGUGAAGCUCAGUAAUACUGCUUUUCUUUAAAAAUAAGUUGUAAGUUGAACACAAAGGGGUGACUUCUAAGCACCUUCGAAAUUGGAUCUGGAGAUAAUUUUCAAGAAUCACGAAAAUGAUUUGUUGAAGUAAGUGUAAUGACUCCCAACUACUUCGAAAGGAGAAAAGAUCGGUCUUUGCGUAUUUAGACAUUUCAUACUUAAAUAUUCUAAUAUUUAUACAACCAUUCGGAGAUGGAUAUAUGUAGCAAAAUGUAAAAUGUGCAUACCCUCUGUCCGUUGAAGUCAUUCCCCUUCAAAGACAUCAUCCUGCAGAUAAAAGGAGGAGUAAACAAAAAUACCUAUGGAACACGAUUCAUCACCGAAGUAGAGAAAAACUAAGACAGACUCAUUGUCACCAGUUAGGGAUAAGUUAAAUAAAAAAUACUGUAGCCACAGUAGAAACCAUGAGAUUGUUUAAAAGGAU